rnacentral:rRNA from 1 species
GACGAACGCUGGCGGCGCGCUUAACACAUGCAAGUCGAGCGAAGCGGCGGACGGGUGAGUAACACGUGAGUAACCUGCCUUAGACAUUGGGAUAGCCUCGGGAAACCGGGAUUAAUACCAAAUGGUCUAAGAUGGACUCGCGACGCAUUAGCUAGUUGGGAGGUAACGGCCCACCAAGGCGACGAUGGGUAGCCGGGCUGAGAGGGUGAACCGCGACAUUGGAACUGGGAAACGGUCCAGACUCUACGUGAGGCAGCAGUGGCGAAUAUUGCACAAUGGAGGGAACUCUGAUGCCGCGAGGCCGCGUGAACACAGAAAGCUUUCGAGUCGUAAAGUUCUUUUAUAUGGGAAGCGGUACCAUAAGAAAAAGCCCCGGCUAACUACGUGCCAGCAGCCGCGGUAAUAC